rnacentral:rRNA from 1 species
GAAAUUCGCCUUCAUGAAGCUGGAAUUGCUAGUAAUGGCAGGUCAGCAUACUGCCGUGAAUACGUUCCCGGGGCCUUGUACACACCGCCCGUCACACCAUGAGAGUUGGAAAUACCCGAAGCCUGUGAGCUAACUUAAAGAGGCAGCAGUCGAAGGUAGAGCCAAUGAUUGGGGUGAAGUCGUAACAAGGUAAC